rnacentral:tRNA from 1 species
UGUCCUGUGGUGUAACGGCAGCACAUCUGGUUUUGGUCCAGAGAAUUGAGGUUCGAAUCCUUGCGGGACAA